CUAAGCUCUCGCAAUAUUCUGAAUUGUGCUGAAUUAAAGAAUGGAGCUGAGUUAAUGAUGCAUUUAAUACAUGCAAACGAAUCAUCAAAUAAUUAAUGAGCUGAGAAAAAGCUUUAUCGUCGCACCAACAUAUUGACGUAAUAUUCAUUUUCGUUUUAUCGGGUGCGAUUUGUAAAUGGAGAGAAGUGAUCCGCAUUUGCUAAGUCAACUAUUAUACCAAUGCAACUGUAGACAAAAGAAACUAAAACGUGCAAGAUUAAAAAAAAG